GUACAUUCUUUUCACAGAAAAGCCGUAACAGAUGGUCAGGGGUCAGGGGUCAUUCAGGGGUAUAUCCACAGGUAGGAGAAAGUUAAACCAGGUAACGAGUCGAGAAUACCGUUGUCGGCUAUAAAGACUAAAGUAGCUGCUGCAGGAUAUCAUUAGGAUAUUCACCCAACGACAUGAAGUGUCUGUUAUUAAUUAUUAAUUAUUAAUUAUUAAUUAUUAAUUAUUAUAUUCGCUCUGCUGGCCGCUUCUAUGGCCUUGCCCCAAUAUGGUGGCGGUUAUCGACCAGGAUAUGGUGGUGGCGGUCAUGGUGGGCGUGGAAAAGGCGGAGGACAUAACUCUCAUGGUCACGGAUAUGGCAAGGGAGGUCAUCAUGGAGGCGGACAUCAUCAUCAUCAUUAGAACGUGUAUUUGUUUUAACAGAUUUAUGUUCAAUUAUGUAUCAUUUAUAUUCACUCUUUAAUACAAAAUUUCAAAAUAAAAAAUGUAAUAUGAA